GGUUAAGCGACUAAGCGUACACGGUGGAUGCCCUGGCAGUCAGAGGCGAUGAAGGGCGUGCUAAUCUGCGAUAAGCGCCGGUAAGGUGAUAUGAACCGUUAUAACCGGCGAUACCCGAAUGGGGAAACCCAGUGUGACUCGUCACACUAUCAUUAACUGAAUCCAUAGGUUAAUGAGGCGAACCGGGGGAACUGAAACAUCUAAGUACCCCGAGGAAAAGAAAUCAACCGAGAUUCCCCCAGUAGCGGCGAGCGAACGGGGAGGAGCCCAGAGCCUGAAUCAGCAUGUGUGUUAGUGGAAGCGUCUGGAAAGGCGCGCGAUACAGGGUGACAGCCCCGUACACAAAAGCGCAUGUGCUGUGAGCUCGAUGAGUAGGGCGGGACACGUGGUAUCCUGUCUGAAUAUGGGGGGACCAUCCUCCAAGGCUAAAUACUCCUGACUGACCGAUAGUGAACCAGUACCGUGAGGGAAAGGCGAAAAGAACCCCGGCGAGGGGAGUGAAAAAGAACCUGAAACCGUGUACGUACAAGCAGUGGGAGCCCCACCACUAAGCCAGUGGUGAACUCCACAUACGCAUCCUUUGCUGAGGAUACGGUUAACGGAGCGAAAGCGACGUUCAACCUCAAAAGAAGCAGAGGGGGCUUAGUGGUGGGGUGACUGCGUACCUUUUGUAUAAUGGGUCAGCGACUUAUAUUCUGUAGCAAGGUUAACCGAAUAGGGGAGCCGGAGGGAAACCGAGUCUUAACCGGGCGUUAAGUUGCAGGGUAUAGACCCGAAACCCGGUGAUCUAGCCAUGGGCAGGUUGAAGGUUGGGUAACACUAACUGGAGGACCGAACCGACUAAUGUUGAAAAAUUAGCGGAUGACCUGUGGCUGGGGGUGAAAGGCCAAUCAAACCGGGAGAUAGCUGGUUCUCCCCGAAAGCUAUUUAGGUAGCGCCUCGUGAAUUCAUCUCCGGGGGUAGAGCACUGUUUCGGCUAGGGGGCCAUCCCGGCUUACCAACCCGAUGCAAACUGCGAAUACCGGAGAAUGUUAUCACGGGAGACACACGGCGGGUGCUAACGUCCGUCGUGAAGAGGGAAACAACCCAGACCGCCAGCUAAGGUCCCAAAGUCAUGGUUAAGUGGGAAACGAUGUGGGAAGGCCCAGACAGCCAGGAUGUUGGCUUAGAAGCAGCCAUCAUUUAAAGAAAGCGUAAUAGCUCACUGGUCGAGUCGGCCUGCGCGGAAGAUGUAACGGGGCUAAACCAUGCACCGAAGCUGCGGCAGCGACACUAUGUGUUGUUGGGUAGGGGAGCGUUCUGUAAGCCUGCGAAGGUGUCUCGUGAGGGAUGCUGGAGGUAUCAGAAGUGCGAAUGCUGACAUAAGUAACGAUAAUGCGGGUGAAAAACCCGCACGCCGGAAGACCAAGGGUUCCUGUCCAACGUUAAUCGGGGCAGGGUGAGUCGACCCCUAAGGCGAGGCCGAAAGGCGUAGUCGAUGGGAAACAGGUUAAUAUUCCUGUACUUGGUGUUACUGCGAAGGGGGGACGGAGAAGGCUAUGUUGGCCGGGCGACGGUUGUCCCGGUUUAAGCGUGUAGGUGUGUGUUCCAGGUAAAUCCGGUUCACUUUAACACUGAGGCGUGAUGACGAGGCACUACGGUGCUGAAGCAACAAAUGCCCUGCUUCCAGGAAAAGCCUCUAAGCAUCAGGUAACAUCAAAUCGUACCCCAAACCGACACAGGUGGUCAGGUAGAGAAUACCAAGGCGCUUGAGAGAACUCGGGUGAAGGAACUAGGCAAAAUGGUGCCGUAACUUCGGGAGAAGGCACGCUGACACGUAGGUGAAGUGAUUUACUCACGGAGCUGAAGUCAGUCGAAGAUACCAGCUGGCUGCAACUGUUUAUUAAAAACACAGCACUGUGCAAACACGAAAGUGGACGUAUACGGUGUGACGCCUGCCCGGUGCCGGAAGGUUAAUUGAUGGGGUCAGCGCAAGCGAAGCUCCUGAUCGAAGCCCCGGUAAACGGCGGCCGUAACUAUAACGGUCCUAAGGUAGCGAAAUUCCUUGUCGGGUAAGUUCCGACCUGCACGAAUGGCGUAAUGAUGGCCAGGCUGUCUCCACCCGAGACUCAGUGAAAUUGAACUCGCUGUGAAGAUGCAGUGUACCCGCGGCAAGACGGAAAGACCCCGUGAACCUUUACUAUAGCUUGACACUGAACAUUGAGCCUUGAUGUGUAGGAUAGGUGGGAGGCUUUGAAGUGUGGACGCCAGUCUGCAUGGAGCCGACCUUGAAAUACCACCCUUUAAUGUUUGAUGUUCUAACGUGGACCCGUAAUCCGGGUUGCGGACAGUGUCUGGUGGGUAGUUUGACUGGGGCGGUCUCCUCCUAAAGAGUAACGGAGGAGCACGAAGGUUGGCUAAUCCUGGUCGGACAUCAGGAGGUUAGUGCAAUGGCAUAAGCCAGCUUGACUGCGAGCGUGACGGCGCGAGCAGGUGCGAAAGCAGGUCAUAGUGAUCCGGUGGUUCUGAAUGGAAGGGCCAUCGCUCAACGGAUAAAAGGUACUCCGGGGAUAACAGGCUGAUACCGCCCAAGAGUUCAUAUCGACGGCGGUGUUUGGCACCUCGAUGUCGGCUCAUCACAUCCUGGGGCUGAAGUAGGUCCCAAGGGUAUGGCUGUUCGCCAUUUAAAGUGGUACGCGAGCUGGGUUUAGAACGUCGUGAGACAGUUCGGUCCCUAUCUGCCGUGGGCGCUGGAGAACUGAGGGGGGCUGCUCCUAGUACGAGAGGACCGGAGUGGACGCAUCACUGGUGUUCGGGUUGUCAUGCCAAUGGCACUGCCCGGUAGCUAAAUGCGGAAGAGAUAAGUGCUGAAAGCAUCUAAGCACGAAACUUGCCCCGAGAUGAGUUCUCCCUGAGACUUAGAGUCUCCUGAAGGAACGUUGAAGACGACGACGUUGAUAGGCCGGGUGUGUAAGCGCAGCGAUGCGUUGAGCUAACCGGUACUAAUGAACCGUGAGGCUUAACCUU
rnacentral:rRNA from 1 species